GGGUGUAUGACUCAGGGGUAGAGUGUGUGCUUGGCACGCACGAGGUCCUGGGAUCAAUCCCCAGGGCCUCUG
rnacentral:tRNA from 1 species